rnacentral:rRNA from 1 species
CCUACGGGGUGCAGCAGUGGGGGAUAUUGCACAAUGGGGGGAACCCUGAUGCAGCGACGCCGCGUGGGUGAAGGAGCGUUUCGGCGCGUAAAGCCCUAUCGGCAGGGAAGAAUAAUGACGGUAGCUAAGGAGCAAGCCACGGCUAACUACGUGCCAGCAGCCGCGGUAAUACGUAGGUGGCAAGCGUUGUCCGGAAUAACUGGGUGUAAAGGGAGCGCAGGCGGGAAGCCAAGUCAGCUGUGAAAACUACGGGCUUAACUUGUAGACUGCAGUUGAAACUGGUUUUCUUGAGUGAAGUAGAGGUUGGCGGAAUUCCGAGUGUAGCGGUGAAAUGCGUAGAUAUUCGGAGGAACACCGGUGGUGAAGGCGGCCAACUGGGCUUUAACUGACGCUGAGGCUCGAAAGUGUGGGGAGCAAACAGGAUUAGAUACCCCUGUAGGUC